AUGACGAAGACGGCAGGGGUUUUGGGCCGGGAUGGUGCUAUAUUUGUCUUGGUCGAUGGCGACCCUUCUUCUACGAAUUUGCCUCGGAUUCCCCAUUUCCUUCCUAUUUCGAUUUCCUCUGGCGCUAGUACAUGUGGAGUUGCUGAACAGAGUUUCAGUUCAGAUUUGUUCGUUGAUUGUUGCGUCCGCUUGUUGGAGAUUUCGUGGAACGCUCUGUGUUUGAGGGGUGCAGCUACAUGCGUCGCUUCAAGAAAGAGCUCCAUGAUUCCCCAAUUCCUUCUAGAAGAAAACCUGGAGCCCAUUAUGUGCACACAGCCUCGGAGGUUUGCUGUGGUAGCCAUUGCUCAAAGGGUGGCUCAUUCUCGCAAGUCGAUGCUAGGACAAGAAGUUGGAUAUCAUAUAGGCCACCCAAAUAUGAAGAAUCUCACCUCAACAAGGUCAAAAAUUGUUUUCAAAACAGCUGGUGUUAUGCUAGAGCAAAUUCGUCAACACGGCAUUGCUGCAUUGCAAUAUAAGGUUAUUAUUCUUGAUGAAAUUCAUGAACGGUCUGUGGAAUCUGAUCUUGUCCUUGCUAUUAUCAAGCAGUUUAUGAUGGAAAAGAGUGACUUCAAGCUGGUUUUGAUGUCUGCCACUGUUGAUAGCACACGAUAUGUUGAUUACUUUAAAGAUAUUGGAAAGGUUGAACUGAUUACCAUCCCGAGCAUCCCAUGCACUAACACGUUCCAGAGAGAAGUCCAUUAUCUUGGAAUUGAUAACAUGCUGAAGAUGGAUUCUGAAUCACUGUCGACAAAGUAUUGUGUUGGAGAACAUUUUAAAACAGAUGCUGUUCUUAGUCCUGACGUGUAUCAUCUUAUCCACACGUUAUUGUUGCACAUACACCAAAGUGAACCAGAUACUGAAAGGAGUAUUUUGGUUUUUCUUCCUACAUACCAUGCAUUGGAGGAGCAGUGGGCUCGGUUGUCUGGUUGUUCAACUUUGAAAGUACAUAUUCUUCAUCGCAGCAUUGACACAGAUGAAGCUUUGGAAACUAUGAAGGCCUCAGAGUCUUGCCGAAAGGUUAUACUGGCCACAAACAUGGCCGAAUCGUCUGUCACUAUUCCAGGAGUUGCUUAUGCUGAGCAGCGGAAAGGAAGGACAGGCCGAACCUGUGAUGGCCAGAUUUUUCGCUUGGUAACAGAGCCAUUUUACAACGCUUUUCCUGAUCAUGAAAGCCCUGCCAUUUCAAUGUUAUCCUUGAGAGACCAAGCACUCAUGAUAUGUUGUGCAGAGUCCAUAGCUAUGCAUGACGACCCCACUGUGCUGCUGCAAAAAAUUCUCAAUCCACCGGAAUCCAGUGUUAUUAAAGAUGCUCUAGAUACUCUUGUUCAAAUUGAUGCAUUUCAGCCAGCAUUCCCUGGAGGGUAUCAUCCCAGAUUUUAUGGCUAUUUGCUCGAUAGUUUGCCGUUGUCAUUUCAUGCUUCUGUUCUUACCCUGAAAUUUGGUGAGAUGGGGUAUCUCCAUGAAGGAAUCCUGAUAGGCAUUAUGUUGGACAUUCAACCACUUCCUAUACUGCAACCUUUUGGUGAUCAAGCAUUGCGCAAGAAGAUUAGAGAUGAUUAUUUUGAUGAACGUACCUUCCAACAAAUUAGCAAGAAGGAAGCUACAGUCAUCGCAAAUCUCCGGGCAUAUCAGUUUUGGCAGCGUAUGUUUAAGGAUAAGUUUCGUCUGGAGUACCUGACAAAUGUUUCCAAGAACCAAGAAUCAAAUGCAUAUGAGAUCUUGAAAGUUGAACAAGAAUGGUGUAGAUUACACAAUCUCGUGCUGAAAGCACUUAACAACAUCUCCAAAAUUUAUGAUAAUAUUAUGAGCACACUGCACCGGUUUAGGCCUCAAUUUCUUCUGGAAAUCAAUCCUCCAAAGUACCUUCAGACCUCUGAAUUCCACCAUGAAUGUCGUGAUCCUGAACUGCUGGAGCCAGAGCAUAUGACUUCACUCCCGUUGGAAACUGACAGUUCUCACUUAGAUUCACAGAGGUGUGCUGCAAUCCCUUAUAUUUCUGCAACUGAUUUUGGAGCCACUGACAUUGUUAAUACCCUCAUGAAGGUUAUUGAAAAGAUGAAGAUAGAACUUGCAGUGACGUGUGUGGACUACCAUGAUGGAUCUAGUGAAACAUACAGAGGACCUCUUAACAAUUUAUCCAAUGCCUCGAAACGAGCAUGCAAGUUCUUCCUCACAUUAAAGGGUUGUAGAAAUGGCGACUCUUGUUCAUUUGCACACAAUCUUGGCUCUUUGAGCUCUUCAUCUGUUACUUCUAAAAUGAAUCCAGAAGAUCCACCAUGGCCGCAGGCUGACAUAGGUUGGAGGAAGUUAGUGACUGGAGGUGAAAAUGGUCACAUUCUUGUCGUGAAUGACAAAAAUCUGAAGUUUUCCUCUCAACUUCAUAACAUGGUUGACAUUACACCUGAUCUGCAUUUGGCUGAGCGUAAUUUAGUUGCAAACAAUCUGAGAAAAGUCCAGAAUGUCGCUGAUCCUUCUCAUCUAACUAUUGGAGAUGAACAUGAACUACCAGUUCCUUGGACGAGACUAAAGCGAAUUAUUUUGGUAGAUGAUUAUGGUUCUGGUUCAACACUCAACCACCACGUCUUGCAGAAGUUCUUUGAGAAUAUUGCCAUCAAGAUAUUGUCGGGACCAUUAUCUAGUGUGCAGAUCAUCUUGAUCAUGAGUAACAUAAAGUUUGUUAAGAUACAGGUGGAAAAAUUGGCAAGGGAGUGUUUCUUCGUUCUUGGUGAAUCAUUCCUGUUAAAUGUAGCGCCUCUUAAGUGGUUUCCGAUCAUGGGCAUCCGUCAACUUGAUGGGCAGGUAGCAGGACAAGUUGCUUACGUUUUCAACAUGCAUCCUCCUUCGGGGGCGGGCAUUCGGCGGGGCGAUUUUGCAACACAAGAGAACUGA
rnacentral:rRNA from 1 species